GGANUUGCGAAUGGGCGAAGCCUGACGCAGCGACGCCGCGUGGGGGAUGAAGCAUCUCGGUGUGUAAACCCCUUUCGACUGGGACGAAUGCCUCGCAAGAGGAGUGACGGUACCAGUAGAAGAAGCCCCGGCUAACUACGUGCCAGCAGCCGCGGUAAGACGUAGGGGGCCAGCGUUGUUCGGAAUUACUGGGUGUAAAGGGUUCGUAGGCGGUGUGGCAAGUCGGGAGUGAAAUCUAUGGGCUUAACUCAUAGGCUGCUUCCGAAACUGCUGUGCUGGAGUGUGGGAGAGGCGCGUGGAAUUGCAGGUGUAGCGGUGAAAUGCGUAGAUAUCUGCAGGAACACCCGUGGCGAAAGCGGCGCGCUGGACCACAACUGACGCUGAGGAACGAAAGCUAGGGGAGCAAACAGGAUUAGAUACCCUGGUAGUCCUAGCCCUAAACGAUCAGGACUUGGGGUGCCGCACGUUCGUGCGUCGUCCCGGAGCUAACGCGUUAAGUCCUGCACCUGGGGAGUACGGUCGCAAGACUGAAACUCAAAAAAAUUGACGGA
rnacentral:rRNA from 1 species